rnacentral:rRNA from 1 species
UAGAGUUUGAUCCUGGCUCAGGACGAACGCUGGCGGCGUGCUUAACACAUGCAAGUCGAGCGAUGAAGUUUCUUCGGAAAUGGAUUAGCGGCGAACGGGUGAGGAACACGUGAAGAAUCUGCCCUCCACUUUGGGAUAACACCGGGAAACCGGUGCUAAUACCGAAUAUUGAAACAUAAGUGGCAUCACUGAGUUUUGAAAGAAUUUCGGUGGAGGAUGACUUCGCGGCCUAUCAGCUAGUUGGUGAGGUAAUGGCUCACCAAGGCAACGACGGGUAGCCGGCCUGAGAGGGCGACCGGCCACACUGGGACUGAGACACGGCCCAGACUCCUACGGGAGGCAGCAGUGGGGAAUAUUGGGCAAUGGAGGAAACUCUGACCCAGCGACGCCGCGUGCGGGAUGAAGGCCUUCGGGUUGUAAACCGCUUUCAGUAGGGAAGAAGCGAAAGUGACGGUACCUACAAAAGAAGCACCGGCUAACUAUGUGCCAGCAGCCGCGGUAAUACAUAGGGUGCAAGCGUUGUCCGGAAUUAUUGGGCGUAAAGAGCUCGUAGGUCGUUUGUUACGUCGGAUGUGAAAACCUGAGGCUCAACCUCAGGCCUGCAUUCGAUACGGGCAAACUAGAGUUUGGUAGGGGAGACUGGAAUUCCUGGUGUAGCGGUGGAAUGCGCAGAUAUCAGGAGGAACACCAAUGGCGAAGGCAGGUCUCUGGGCCAAUACUGACACUGAGGAGCGAAAGUCUGGGGAGCGAACAGGAUUAGAUACCCUGGUAGUCCAGACCGUAAACGGUGGGCACUAGUUGUGGGAACCUUCCACGGUUUCUGCGACGCAGCUAACGCAUUAAGUGCCCCGCCUGGGGAGUACGAUCGCAAGAUUAAAACUCAAAGGAAUUGACGGGGCCCCGCACAAGCAGCGGAGCAUGCGGCUUAAUUCGACGCAACGCGAAGAACCUUACCAAGGCUUGACAUAUAGGGAAAAGUGGCAGAGAUGUCAUGUCCGCAAGGGCCCUAUACAGGUGGUGCAUGGUUGUCGUCAGCUCGUGUCGUGAGAUGUUGGGUUAAGUCCCGCAACGAGCGCAACC